rnacentral:lncRNA from 1 species
UGCAGAAAUAAAAACUCUCUUCCCAGCUCAUCUGCUUCUCCUUACUGGGCCGCGAGAAAUAGCAGCCUAACCCUCAGUUUGGUCUGGGAACAACUGUACUCCAGCCUGGGUGACGGAAUGAGACUGUGUCUCAAAAAUAAACAAACAAAAUAAUAAAUUAAAACUAAUUUUAUUAAUUUUUAUUGUUACUAUUUUAUAGUGUCAUAAAUCACAGUUAACCACAAAUUAUUCUUGUUAGAAAAUACACUUUUUUAUGAAAUUUGGCAGGAAAGUUUUUGUUUACAUGGAGUUCCAUAAAGAGUCCUUGAUGUAGUAAGAACUCAUAAGGCAAGCAGGCAGCUGAGGCCUCCUGAGACAGGAAUGCACAUAGCGCUUGGGCCCUGCAGGCGGAGCGGGCUCGGGGACCUGGCGCAGCGCUCUGUCACUCUGGGAAGGAGACGCUAGCCCGCAGGCUGCGGCUGAUGCUGGGGUCCUGCACUAGCGCGAAGGUCAGCUCCAUGCCGGCGAGGCCAGGACGGACUCCAGAGCCUCAGUGUGCUGAGCGCAGGCGCCCAGUACUCGGCGGAGCUGGCGCCCCGCUAGACGCAAGGACUCCACAAGGACCCCAGAGCCAGAUCCCUGCGAGGCCCCGGCAUUCCCUGACCUGGCGGGGAAUCCUGGCCCCCGAUGGUCUACGGCAGCCCCCAGCCGGCUCCCGGGAUGGCUUGCAGCGCCCGCAGGCUUCUCCAGCCUCCAGAACUGCAGGAGCUGCGGUCCAAGCCAGUUCCUGGGCUCCGGGAGAAACUGAGCGGAGAAACAGUGCUGAAACAUGA